AGUGAACGCUGGCGGUAGGCCUAACACAUGCAAGUCGAACGGCAGCACAGUAAGAGCUUGCUCUUACGGGUGGCGAGUGGCGGACGGGUGAGGAAUACAUCGGAAUCUACUUUUCGUGGGGGAUAACGUAGGGAAACUUACGCUAAUACCGCAUACGACCUGCGGGUGAAAGCAGGGGAUCUUCGGACCUUGCGCGAUUGAAUGAGCCGAUGUCGGAUUAGCUAGUUGGCGGGGUAAAGGCCCACCAAGGCGACGAUCCGUAGCUGGUCUGAGAGGAUGAUCAGCCACACUGGAACUGAGACACGGUCCAGACUCCUACGGGAGGCAGCAGUGGGGAAUAUUGGACAAUGGGCGCAAGCCUGAUCCAGCCAUACCGCGUGGGUGAAGAAGGCCUUCGGGUUGUAAAGCCCUUUUGUUGGGAAAGAAAAGCAGCAGGUUAAUACCCCGCUGUUCUGACGGUACCCAAAGAAUAAGCACCGGCUAACUUCGUG
rnacentral:rRNA from 1 species